GGCUGGGGUUAACGGCAGCAUUGUCUUCCAUCUCAUGACUGUACACAGAUGCUGAAUUUACACUUCUGAAAUACUUCUCAUUUUAUACCCAGACAUGUGCAUAAAAAGGGAAUCAGAGAAGAUGCCACCCACUGACACUCAGCGAUUCAUAUUUCUAAAACAGAUGACACCGUUAGGACUGGAUAUACCUUUCAAAAGCCUUAACAUCUCGGACCCACAUUUGGAUCUCUUUCUCUUGAUUUCAAGUUGCGUGGCACUGCUGAAAUGAUUGAGAACUGCUUACCCUGGGAGAGAAAGGCCUAUCAUGACUGAUCAAAGUGAGAUGCUGCCUGGGCUAGAUUUGCCUUUGCAUGGGAGAGCUUAUUCCACCCACAGCCUUCAGAAUAAGCCUUGUAGAAUCAUUCCUUUAAUGGGCAGCUCUCCAGAAUCAAAACCUUUCUUCACUGCAUUGUAUUUUUUCAUAUAUGGUAUGUUUGACAAGAAGGGACGCGGGUGGCGGUGUGGGUUAAACCACAGAA